rnacentral:rRNA from 1 species
AGUGAACGCUGGCGGUAGGCCUAACACAUGCAAGUCGAACGGCAGCACAGGAGAGCUUGCUCUCUGGGUGGCGAGUGGCGGACGGGUGAGGAAUUCAUCGGAAUCUACUCUGUCGUGGGGGAUGACGUAGGGAAACUUACGCUAAUACCGCAUACGACCUACGGGUGAAAGCAGGGGACCUUCGGGCCUUGCGCGAUUGAAUGAGCCGAUGUCGGAUUAGCUAGUUGGCGGGGUAAAGGCCCACCAAGGCCACGAUCCGUAGCUGGUCUGAGGGGAGGAUCAGCCAAAAUGGAACUGAGACACGGUCCAGACUCCUACGGGAGGCAGCAGUGGGGAAUAUUGGACAAUGGGCGCAAGCCUGAUCCAGCCAUACCGCGUGGGUGAAGAAGGCCGUCGGGUUGUAAAGCCCUUUUGUUGGGAAAGAAAUCCAGCUGGCUAAUACCCGGUUGGGAUGACGGUACCCAAAGAAUAAGCACCGGCUAACUUCGUGCCAGCCGCCGCGGUAA